AUCUGAAGUGUGAAUAGGAUUGGUGAAAGAGUGAAAGAGUGUUGUGUGCUUUUGCUGAGUUUAGGAUGGUGUCAAUUGUGCCUCAGGAGAAGAGUUUAGACAUUCUGUCCUGAUGAAUGUAAUCAAGUCUUUAUUUCAUGGUUUCUCUUAACGCAAAUACGUACAGGUUCAUAUUCGUCGAUGAGGGUGAGAGGAAAACUAUCGCCAACAGAAAGAAUCCAGAUAGGAAGAGAGAAAAAGAAAGACCAGAGAUGGUAUACUGUGGUGGUUAAAGGCCAGAGACUGGGGAAAAAGUGGUUAUGGGUUUAAAGUCUGCCUCCAGCAUUUUCUUGCUCUAUAAUUUUGGAGAAGUUACCAAAAAUCUCAAAACCCAAGUUUUUUUGUAAGAUAUCUACAUUUCAGACUUCUUGUGAAGACUAAAAAAGAUAAUGAUUUUGUGUCCUUUUUAAAACAGCCUCAAUCACCUGAUUCCUCCCUGCCACUUCUCUGCAAAUGAUAGAGUUCACACAUCUAUAAUUCUCUCAUAGGUUCAUGUGGGCUGCUCCUCAUAACCCUGCUCAAACACUACUGAGGCAUCAGGAUCUUCAAGAUUCAUAAUCACAUAACAAUUGUUUUGAGCUGAAGACAGCAGAAGAACAUAAGGAUACCCUGUACUUCUCAGGAGGAUAGGAACAUCAGAUUUGGAAUGGAUGAGGAAACUGAAGCGAAAGAAUGUUGACUAAUUUUGUCAAGGUCACACAACUGCUCUCUUUGGUGACUUCCUGAAGCUUGAAGUAUCUUCCUUGGGAGACGUAUUAUAGAAUUUGAAAUCCCACUGGCCAGAUCUCAGCAUGUAGUUUCAUCCCAACUCUACAGAAGUCUGGAAAAUACAGAGAGAACAUGCUCUUUCCCUAGGAAGAAGAGAUGAGAGCUCCAUCUCUCUGCUGGUGGAAGGAGAGGUUGUCUUUCCCUUCCCAUAGGGCAAGAAGAGCUGCCUCCACAUCCUCCUUCUGCUGUAGCUGAAGAGCCUGUUUAAAGGAACAUCCUGAUGGGGCUCAGCCUUUUGACCCCCAGAAAACAUGGCUUUGUCUGCCAUCCUGCAGCUCAUCAUGGGAGCCUGCAAAGUGGUUGGGGGCAGCACACACCAGCAUGCUGUGAAGAGAGGAAAGAGCUGCCGGGAUAACAACCCCGCAGCCACCAUAAUGACUCAGAUUAGAACACAAGGGAACACCAGCCAUUUUUUAGUCUGUCAGUUUUUCUAUUAUCCUCAAGACUGAGCAUGAAACAUUCAUUAUAACACGUCCUUAUUGAUUCAACUGAUGGAAAUAUAUUGGUAUUAAUAACACGAAACUCUAAGGCACUGAGGAUAAUAAAAUGAUUGCGAACAUAA